UACGGGGGGGGCAAGCGUUGUUCGGAAUUACUGGGCGUAAAGGGCUCGUAGGUGGCCAACUAAGUCGGACGUGAAAUCCCUCAGCUUAACUGGGGAACUGCGUCCGAUACUGGAUGGCUUGAGUUUGGGAGAGGGAUGCGGAAUUCCAGGUGUAGCGGUGAAAUGCGUAGAUAUCCGGAGGAACACCGGUGGCGAAGGCGGCUUCCUGGACCGACACUGACGCUGAGGCGCGAAAGCUAGGGGAGCAAACGGG
rnacentral:rRNA from 1 species